CACUGAUUAUAAUUUAAAGGGCCGCAGUAAUUUUGACUGUGCAAAGGUAGCAUAAUCGUUAGUUUUUUAAUUGGAAUCUUGUAUGAAUGGUUUGACAAAAAAAAAUCUGUCUUUAUAAUUAUUUAUUGAAUUUAAUUUUUAAGUGAAAAAGCUUAAAUAAAUUAAAAAGACGAUAAGACCCUAUAAAGCUUAAUAUUAAGAUUUUUAUUUAAAUUGAAUUUUAAAUAAUAUAAUAAUUUGGUGAAUAUAUAUUAUUUUGUUGGGGCGAUAUUGAUAAAAUAUUUAUUAACUGUUAAUUUUUUUAGACAAAUAUAAAUGUAUAAAAUAUUAAUUAUAAGUGAUCCUUAUUUGAAGAUUAAAAGUUUAAGUUACUUUAGGGAUAACAGCGUUAUUUUUUUUAAGAGUUCUUAUCGAAAAAAAAGUUUGCGACCUCGAUGUUGAAUUAAAAUAUCUAUAUAAUUGUAGCAGUUAUAUAAGAAGGUCUGUUCGACCUUUAAAAUUUUACAUG
rnacentral:rRNA from 1 species